AGCGGCGGACGGGUGAGUAAUGCUCAGGAAUCUGCCUAUUAGUGGGGGACAACAUUCCGAAAGGAAUGCUAAUACCGCAUACGUCCUACGGGAGAAAGCAGGGGAUCUUCGGACCUUGCGCUAAUAGAUGAGCCUAAGUCGGAUUAGCUAGUUGGUGGGGUAAAGGCCUACCAAGGCGACGAUCUGUAGCGGGUCUGAGAGGAUGAUCCGCCACACUGGGACUGAGACACGGCCCAGACUCCUACGGGAGGCAGCAGUGGGGAAUAUUGGACAAUGGGCGGAAGCCUGAUCCAGCCAUGCCGCGUGUGUGAAGAAGGCCUUUUGGUUGUAAAGCACUUUAAGCGAGGAGGAGGCUACCUAGAUUAAUACUCUGGGAUAGUGGACGUUACUCGCAGAAUAAGCACCGGCUAACUCUGUGCCAGCAGCCGCGGUAAUACAGAGGGUGCGAGCGUUAAUCGGAUUUACUGGGCGUAAAGCGUGCGUAGGCGGCUGAUUAAGUCGGAUGUGAAAUCCCUGAGCUUAACUUAGGAAUUGCAUUCGAUACUGGUCAGCUAGAGUAUGGGAGAGGAUGGUAGAAUUCCAGGUGUAGCGGUGAAAUGCGUAGAGAUCUGGAGGAAUACCGAUGGCGAAGGCAGCCAUCUGACCUAAUACUGACGCUGAGGUACGAAAGCAUGGGGAGCAAACAGGAUUAGAUACCCUGGUAGUCCAUGCCGUAAACGAUGUCUACUAGC
rnacentral:rRNA from 1 species